AGAACGAACGCUGGCGGCAGGCUUAACACAUGCAAGUCGAACGGAUAUAGCAAUAUAUUAGUGGCGCACGGGUGAGUAACGCGUGGGAACGUGCCUUUCAGUACGGGAUAACAUCGGGAAACUGAUGCUAAUACCGUAUAUUCCCUAAGGGGGAAAGAUUUAUCGCUGAAAGAUCGGCCCGCGUAAGAUUAGGUAGUUGGUGGGGUAAUGGCCUACCAAGCCUACGAUCUUUAGCUGGUCUGAGAGGAUGAUCAGCCACACUGGAACUGAGACACGGUCCAGACUCCUACGGGAGGCAGCAGUGGGGAAUAUUGGACAAUGGGCGCAAGCCUGAUCCAGCCAUGCCGCGUGAGUGAUGAAGGCCUUAGGGUUGUAAACCGCUUUUGUCAGGGAAGAAACGCUCCGGGCCAAUACCCUGGAGUAAUGACGGUACCUGAAGAAUAAGCACCGGCUAACUACGUGCCAGCAGCCGC
rnacentral:rRNA from 1 species